rnacentral:rRNA from 1 species
AUGCACGCUGGCGGCGUGCCUAAUACAUGCCAGUCGAGCGAACAGACGAGGAGCUUGCUCCUCUGACGUUAGCGGCGGACGGGUGAGUAACACGUGGAUAACCUACCUAUAAGACUGGGAUAACUUCGGGAAACCGGAGCUAAUACCGGAUAAUAUAUUGAACCGCAUGGUUCAAUAGUGAAAGACGGUUUUGCUGUCACUUAUAGAUGGAUCCGCGCCGCAUUAGCUAGUUGGUAAGGUAACGGCUUACCAAGGCAACGAUGCGUAGCCGACCUGAGAGGGUGAUCGGCCACACUGGAACUGAGACACGGUCCAGACUCCUACGGGAGGCAGCAGUAGGGAAUCUUCCGCAAAGGGCGAAAGCCUGACGGAGCAACGCCGCGUGAGUGAUGAAGGUCUUCGGAUCGUAAAACUCUGUUAUUAGGGAAGAACAAAUGUGUAAGUAACUAUGCACGUCUUGACGGUACCUAAUCAGAAAGCCACGGCUAACUACGUG